GAUGAAGAACGCAGCGAAAUGCGAUACGUAAUGUGAAUAGCAGAAUUCAGUGAAUCAUCGAGUCUUUGAACGCACAUUGCGCCCCCUGGUAUUCCGGGGGGCAUGCCUGUCCGAGCGUCAUUGCUGCCCUCAAGCACGGCUUGUGUGUUGGGCCUCCGUCCUCCUCCCGGGGGACGGGCCCGAAAGGCAGCGGCGGCACCGCGUCCGGUCCUCGAGCGUAUGGGGCUUCGUCACCCGCUCUUGUAGGCCCGGCCGGCGCUUGCCGACACAUCAAUCUUUUUUCCAGGUUGACCUCGGAUCAGGUAGGGAUACCCGCUGAACUUAAGCAUAUCAAUAAGCGGAGGA
rnacentral:misc_RNA from 1 species